CCCUGGGUGGUGCGAACUGUUAACGCGUUCAGCUGAUAACUGAAAGGUUGGAGGUUCAAGUCCACCUACGGGCA
rnacentral:tRNA from 1 species